AAGGUGGGUAUAAGGUUGCGGCCUAUAAAAUGGCGCUUAAUGGGUGUACACUCACACCCACCGCUUGCUUGAUUGGUGGAGGGUCGUUAGCCGAACGGGUAGGAUAGGGCAACCUCAUCCUCUCAUUAAAAGUAUAAUAGGAAAUACAAAGUAACUACACAUAUUUUAAAAUUUCCCAAUCUUAGUUACUUUAGGAAAAGUGAAUUGAUGCAAUCCCAUGAAAUUACACUUUGCACCCUUGCUAAGAAGUUAGUGGAGCGUGUGUGGUUUACCGGCACACUAAUUGGUUCUAAGCAAAGGUGGCAAAGGGUGAUUCAUUGUUUAUCAUAGUUCGAUGGAGCGUGUGUGGUUUACCGGCACAUCGAAUAGGUGAUCGUUACAAUGAAGGCACCAUGUGAAUUUGCAUGGUAAUUCACACCCGCUUUGUGAUCCUCGGUAUCCCAGUCACAAACAAGAGGGGCAUAUCGAGAUUUAAACAUGCCAUUGAAUAGUUUCAAUGAAUCUCAUCCGAACCUAGGAAUUCUCAAUACAUUUAGGACUAAUAGUUAGGUUUUGUGAUGGAGAAUUAGUGAAUCGUCAUUCACUUACCUUCAAUUUAUUUGCAUGUUAGAUUACGGCAUCCCUUUUCUAAUAUGUAAAUGUUAUUGUUGGAUCCUAGCCCUAAUUUUUCUUAUUGGGUGAUAAUUAGGGAUUCAUAUUCUAAUCUAUCUUUGUCCUUUCUAAUUGUAGAUGUCGAACGCAAACAACGCUGCUGCUAGUUCUUUCACGUUGAUGAGCCUUUGCCAAAAGGUCACCUUCGAUGGAACGAACUUUAGCGAAUGGAUAAGAUACAUUCGCACCAUUGCUCGCUAUGAGGAUAAGGAGUAUGUCCUCGAUGAGAAGCUCGAGAAAAUCAACCCUGAAAUCGCUACUCCGGCUGAAAUGACCGCUUUUGAAACUCAUGAGCGCGAUGCAACGAAGGUACAUUGCAUCAUGAUAGCCACCAUGAACUCCGAAUUCCAAAAGUCCUAUGAGGACAUGUACCCGUACGAGAUGCAUCAAGACUUAUUGGAGAGAUACCACCAAAACGCGAGACAAGAGCGUUAUGAGAUUUUCACUAACAUGAUUUCCGCUAAAAUGGGUCAUGGAGAGUCUCUUACCGUGCACCUGCAAAAGAUGCAAAGGUAUGUCGACCGUCUUUGCAAGUUGAAUGUUGAAUUUGGGGAAAACUUGGCGAUCGACAUGGUGCUUCAAUCUUUACCUCCAAGUUACAAUCAAUUUAGGAUGACCUAUCACAUGAACAAAGAAGAGGUCACCCUAAGCAAACUCCAAGGUCUCUUGAGGGUCGCUGAGAGCAACUUCAAGGACAAGUCUGUUGCACCAACUCCCAAUCCACCCGCUGCUCCUGUCUUGGCUAUUGGACAAGGAAAGGGAAAGAAGAGGAAGGCUUCGUCUAAGAACUAUCGCAAGGUUAAAGCCCGAGAUGGUGCCUCUUCUAGUGGGACCAAAGUUGAUCCCGCUAAGCCCUGCCCUAACCCAAAGGAGGCAGAGUGCCACCACUGCCACAAGAUAGGACAUUGGAAGAGAAGCUGCCCAGAGUACCUGCAAGCCAUCAAGGAAGGAAAGAUCAAGCCGUCUUUCGCAGGUAUAUACACAAUUAAAUCUAACGAUUCAUCUCAUGCUAUUUCUUGGGUUCUUGAUACCGGUUGUGGUUACCACAUUUGUUCUAAUGUGCAGGGACUAAGAAGAAAUAGGGAUGUGGAGGCUGGAAGAAUAAAUCUAAUCAUGGGGAACAGAAGAUCGUCGCCUGUGACCAAGAUUGGAGUGUAUUCUUUAGUGCUUAGGAAUGGUUUAAGUUUAGAUUUGAACAAUUGUUGCUAUUCGCCAGAAAUGGCUAGAAACAUCAUUUCAUUUCAUGGUUUGUUUAGACAAGGUUUUAGAUUUUCUUUUAAUAAUGAGAAUGGUUCUAUUUUGGCUUAUCUAAAUGGUGUCUUUUAUUUUGAAGCUAUACCAUGUAAUGGAAUUUAUGAAACUGUUAUGAUUGUUGAUAACUUAGGAAAUGAUGUUUUGAACAUAGAUUCUUCCAAUAGUAUGGAUAAAGCAUCCUUGUGGCAUUGUCGUCUUGGACAUGUCAACAAGAAACGCAUAGCCCAACUCCAAAAGGAUGGAGUGUUGGAGUCAUUCGACCUUAGGGAAGAUGACACAUGCGAGUCUUGUUUGCUUGGAAAGAUGACUAAGUCACCCUUCACGAGUACAUGUGAAAGGGGUGAGGGUCUAUUGGACCUAAUACAUACCGAUGUAUGUGGACCGUUUAGAUCAACCACGAAGGAUGGGAACCGCUUCUACGUGACUUUUACCGAUGACUAUAGUAGAUAUGGGUAUAUCUACUUAAUCAAGCAAAAGUCAGAAACUUUUGAAAAGUUCAAAGAGUUCAAGAAUGAAGUGGAGAAUCAAUUGGGCAGGAAAAUCAAGAUGCUUCGAUCCGAUCGAGGAGGAGAGUACCUAAGUCUUGAAUUCCACGAUUAUCUCAAGGAGUGUGGAAUAGUUUCACAAUUGACGCCUCCUAGGACACCGCAGUUGAAUGGUGUGGCAGAAAGGCGUAAUCGAACCUUAUUGGAUAUGGUUCGCUCUAUGAUGAGUCGUGCUUCACUACCUAUCUCUUUUUGGGGGUAUGCCUUAGAGACUGCCGCCCAUAUCCUUAACCGAGUCCCUACUAAGAAGGUUGCCAAAACACCUCACGAGAUGUGGACAGGGAAAGCUCCCUCGUUGGCACAUAUCAAGGUUUGGGGUUGCGAGGCUUUCGUAAGACGAGAUACUCACGACAAGCUUGAACCUCGAAGUGAGCGAUGUAUUUUCAUCGGCUACCCGCAGACAUCCUUUGGAUAUCUCUUCUAUAGACCGAAGGACAAUGUUGUCUUCGUUGCGAGGAGAGGAGUUUUCCGAGAGCGAGAACUCAUAAGCCAAGGAGACAGUGGGAGGCAAAUCGAACUUGAAGAGAUUCAAGAGUCGAUAGAUGAAGGAACCUCUACCGCUGGCACUCAACCCGAGGAGGAAACUCCGGUUGAACCGAUUGACGAAUCCUUACCUCUUAGACGUUCCGAUAGAGUUAGAGUUCAUCCCCAGUUUUAUGGUUUUCAUAUUACUACCGAAGGGGACACGUAUAUUAGUGAUGGUACACUAGUAAAUCUUGAUGAACCUAAUAGCUAUAAGGAAGCCAUGGCAGGCCCGGAGUCUGCAAAAUGGAAAGAGGCAAUGGAUAGCGAGAUCCAAUCCAUGUAUGAUAACCAAGUUUGGAAUUUGGUUGAUUAUGUGCCCGGACGUAAGACCGUUGGGUGCAAAUGGAUCUUCAAGAAGAAGACCGACGUGGAUGGAAACGUACACACAUAUAAAGCGCGAUUGGUUGCGAAGGGCUUUACUCAAACUCCCGGAGUUGACUAUGAUGAGACCUUCUCACCAGUUGCGAAGAUUAAAUCUAUUAGAGUGAUGCUAGCUAUUGCCGCAUUUCAUGAUUAUGAGAUUUGGCAAAUGGAUGUCAAGACCGCUUUCCUUAACGGAAAGUUGGCUGAGGAUGUUUACAUGGCUCAGCCAGAGGGGUUUGUGGAUCCGAAGCAUCCGGAUAGAGUGUGUAAGCUUGAGAAGUCCAUUUAUGGACUUAAGCAAGCGUCUCGCAGAUGGAAUCUUUGCUUCGAUGAGAAAGUCAAAGAGUUUGGAUUUGUACGAAGCGAAGACGAAUCUUGUGUAUAUGUCAAAGCCAGUGGGAGUAUAGUAAGCUUCCUCGUUCUAUAUGUCGAUGACAUAUUACUCAUAGGAAACGACAUCCCGACUCUGCAGGAGGUUAAGUCCUGGCUCGGGAAGUGCUUCGCUAUGAAGGACCUCGGAGAGGCUUCUUACAUUUUGGGAAUAAGGAUAGUAAGAGAAAGAAGUAAGAGACUAAUUGGACUUAGUCAGAAUACUUACUUAGAGAAGGUACUAAAACGUUUUAGUAUGGAAAACUCAAAGAAGGGAGAACUACCGAUACAAAGUAAUGCCAAAUUGAGUAAGACUCAAAGUCCGAGUACCGAAGCUGAGAUAGCAGAAAUGAGCCGAGUACCAUACGCUUCCGCAGUUGGCUCAAUCAUGUACGCUAUGACUUGUACUCGCCCUGAUGUAGCCUUCGCUUUGAGCAUGGUUAGCAGAUAUCAAGGGAAUCCUGGCAAAGCACAUUGGAUUGCGGUGAAGAAUAUCCUUAAGUACCUUCGGAGGACGAAGGAAUGGUUCUUAGUCCUCGGAGGGAGUGAUGACUUGAAGGUGCGAGGGUAUAGUGACGCCAGUUUUCAGACCGACAGGGACAACUACCGUUCGCAGUCGGGCUGGGUCUUUACCCUAAAUGGAGGAGCAGUGACAUGGAAGAGUUCCAAGCAGGAAACCGUAGCUGAUUCAACGUGCGAAUCAGAGUACAUUGCAGCGAGCGAAGCGUCGAAGGAGGCAAUAUGGCUAAAGAACUUCAUCGGUGAUCUUGGAGUUGUACCUGCCAUAAAGGAGCCAAUGGAGAUUUUCUGUGAUAACGAAGGCGCGGUUGCCUUAACCAAGGAACCGAGGGAUCAUGGUAGAUCAAGACAUAUCGACAGAAAGUAUCACUUCAUUAGACAUCGUGUAGAAGAAGGACAACUCGUAGUGAAGAGGAUAUCAUCAGAAGAUAACCCAGCAGAUCCGCUUACGAAGGGACUGAGUAGGGUUAAGCACUUGCAGCAUGCUAGGAGUAUUGGGCUGAAGGAUGAUAUUAGCAUAGAUUAGAUAGUAUUAGAAACGUGUAAUAGAUAAAUGUAAUUAACAUUUGAUGAUUAAAUAAAGGAGUUUUAUUUAUGAGUAAUGUUACUAUCUUAUGUUAAUUGUUUAGCUAUUGUUUCACUUUGCAUGUUUUGACUUCCAGAAUAAUUGAGUUUAUUAGGAAUAAUCGAAUUGUUCAAAUGGUCCACAAUCGUUCAUAUGUUGGGAGUAGAUAUGAAUGAAGAUUGUCAUGAAUUGGUGUGUAGAAUGUCUAAAUGGUGUUAGACAUAGCAAAGGAUUGCUGCAACGUUCAUGAGUGCUUAUGAACUAGUUUUGAGCAUUGGAAUAAACCCGCGCUUGCUGGAAUCACCUUAUGGAAUACGAUAUAAAAGGUGAUCGCAAGACGAUAAUAUCAUAUAGUCUUAAAACCUAGAUAUAUGGUUUAUUAUUUGUUAAUUGAUUGUACAUUGAUAAUACGAAAACGCAUCAGUAACUUGGUGUUAUAAAACGUAUUGUUGUGUAUAGUUGGUAAAUGAAUAAGUAAAUGCAUAUAAGUCGAAGUUUAUCUGUAACUUUUAUCUAAGAAGGUAAAAGCGAUAUCUCGGCCGCUCGAUGAUUUGAUUUGACUUAUGUGCCGGGCCCGGUCAGAACUGAAUUGAUGUGUUCGAUUAAGUUCUAUGUCAAAUAAAUCAGAGAUCGAGAAACCUAAAUGCUUGACUAACCAUUCCAUAGGAUUGUCAGCAUGAUAUCUAACAGAGGACUGUACGUUCCCUUAUCUAAAGGACAAGAUUGAUUAGAUCAGAGUUGACAGCGUCUUUGAGAGCUACGAUUGCAAACCGAAUUGUACUUGUAUAGUUACUAGACUUAUCCAAGUGGGAGACUGUUGGAAUAGUGUCUAAGGCUGUAACUAUAUUAGGCAAGUAUUUGAUCCGGUUGUGCAUGGUCCUUUUGGGUUGCCUUCACCAUAGCAACUUGAUAGGAUGAUUUAUUAAGAGAGAGUAAAUAUUAUUAAUAUAUUAUGAGAAUAAUAUAAUGAAUAAUAUAUUUGUUAUUUGAUUAAUAUAAGUCAUAGAAUUAAUUAGAAUUAAUUUGGUGACUUAAAGAGAUUAAUUAAAUAAAGGGGUAUAAACUGUCAAUUGUUUGAUAGUUAAGCUUUAGACUGUAAAUCCAUUUGGAUAUGCUAUGGACGAAUUCUAAGAGGAUUAGGAUAGCUAAAAUCGUCCAUUAGAGUUAUCUAGGAAUGGAUUUGGAUAGCCUUAAGAGAAGAUUAUCUGAUAGGGACUUAUCUGUAAUCCUUAAGGAGUCUACAAGUAUAAAUAGACCCCAUGGCAUAGGGAAUUCGACACUUCUGAAAAAGCAAGAGAACUCUGGUCGAAUUCCUCCCCUCUCCUCUCUCCUAAAUCAUUCUUAUUGCUAUUGGUGUUUGUAAGCCAUUAGAGGAGUGACACUUGUGACUCUAGAAGCUCCAAGACCUCAAGAUCAACAAGGAACUCAAAGGUAUGAUUCUAGAUCUGUUUCAAUGUUGUUAUUUAACCUAAUUAGUCAUUAGAAGACUUGGAUUCAAUGCAUGUUUAUUAGAAAGCCUAGAUCCAAGCAUUAGGGUUUUGCAUGCGCACAUAGGAAAGUUCUUAUGGCUAAAACCCAUCAGUGGUAUCAGAGCCUAGCUUGGUUUUCUUUAAAUUGUUGCUUGAUUAACUGAAACAAACCUGCAAAAUUCGAUUUUUUGGUUUCUGAGUCAUGGACUCGGCGAGUCCCAAAGUGGACUCGGCGAGUAGGCCUGACUCGGCGAGUCCAUUUGUGCACUCGGCGAGUCCAGGCGUCAGGAAUGGCCAGAUUCGGGAUUUCUUUGUGUUUAUCUUAUCUUAACUUACCAUAAACUAAUUAGAUCAACAUUAAUUCGUUUUUCUGAUAAAUAUAACUAUUAUCUUGAUCUAGUUAAAGGUAAUUAUCAACUAAUUAAAUAUUUAAUUUCCUUAUAUGAUAAUUAAUUAAUUAUUUUAAUUAUUUUGGUAAUUAUCUUAAAAAGAAAUCUUGAAUAAAUCAAAUAUAGAUAAUUAGGAUAUUAAUUGUUAAUUGGAAUUAUUUGUUAUUUGAUCCUCCAUGUUUUAAAUGUUUAAAACCUACCCUCAUGUUUUGAAAUUUACUUUUGUGAUUAAAAGUUUUAAUUUAGACAACUUAAAUUUCAAACCCUAGAUUUUAAAAGUUUUAAAAUACAACCCUAUACUAAUAUGAUAUUACUAGAAUAAUAUAUAUAUGUAUAACUAAAUGCUAGUCUUACCGUUAGUAGGCCUCAUUCACGAAGCCGAUCUAUAAGGUGGGUAUAAGGUUGCGGCCUAUAAAAUGGCGCUUAAUGGGUGUACACUCACACCCACCGCUUGCUUGAUUGGUGGAGGGUCGUUAGCCGAACGGGUAGGAUAGGGCAACCUCAUCCUCUCAUUAAAAGUAUAAUAAGAAAUACAAAGUAACUACACAUAUUUUAAAAUUUCCCAAUCCUAGUUACUUUAGGAAAAGUGAAUUGAUGCAAUCCCAUGAAAUUACACUUUGCACCUUGCUAAGAUGUUAGUGGAGCGUGUGUGGUUUACCGGCACACUAAUUGGUUCUAAGCGAAGGUGGCAAAGGGUGAUUCAUUGUUUAUCAUAGUUCGAUGGAGCGUGUGUGGUUUACCGGCACAUCGAAUAGGUGAUCGUUACAAUGAAGGCACCAUGUGAAUUUGCAUGGUAAUUCACACCCGCUUUGUGAUCCUCGGCAUCCCAGUCACAAACAAGAGGGGCAUAUCGAGAUUUAAACAUGCCAUUGAAUAGUUUCAAUGAAUCUCAUCCGAACCUAGGAAUUCUCAAAAACACUUAGGACUAAUAGUUUAAGUUUUGUGAUGGAGAAUUAGUGAAUCGUCAUUCACUUACCUUCAAUUUAUUUGCAUGUUAGAUUACGGCAUCCCUUUUCUAGUAUGUAAAUGUUAUUGUUGGAUCCUAGCCCUAAUUUUCUUAUUGGGUGAUAAUUAGGGAUUCUUAUUCUAAUCUAUCUUUGUCCUUUUCUAAUUGUAGAUGUCGAACGCAAACAACGCUGCUGCUAGUUCUUUCACGUUGAUGAGCCUUUGCCAAAAGGUCAC
rnacentral:lncRNA from 1 species